rnacentral:rRNA from 1 species
GAUGAACGCUGGCGGCGUGCCUAAUACAUGCAAGUCGAGCGAACUGAUUAGAAGCUUGCUUCUAUGACGUUAGCGGCGGACGGGUGAGUAACACGUGGGCAACCUGCCUGUAAGACUGGGAUAACUUCGGGAAACCGAAGCUAAUACCGGAUAGGAUCUUCUCCUUCAUGGGAGAUGAUUGAAAGAUGGUUUCGGCUAUCACUUACAGAUGGGCCCGCGGUGCAUUAGCUAGUUGGUGAGGUAACGGCUCACCAAGGCAACGAUGCAUAGCCGACCUGAGAGGGUGAUCGGCCAAACUGGGACUGAGACACGGCCCAGACUCCUACGGGAGGCAGCAGUAGGGAAUCUUCCGCAAUGGACGAAAGUCUGACGGAGCAACGCCGCGUGAGUGAUGAAGGCUUUCGGGUCGUAAAACUCUGUUGUUAGGGAAGAAUAAGUACAAGAGUAACUGCUUGUACCUUGACGGUACCUAACCAGAAAGCCACGGCUAACUACGUGCCAGCCGCCGCAGUAAAAC